AGUCUUAUAGUUUAAUAAAAACUUUAAAUUGCAAAUUUAAUAAAGAAAAGUCUUCUAAGAUUU
rnacentral:tRNA from 1 species